rnacentral:rRNA from 1 species
GAUGAACGCUGGCGGCGUGCCUAAUACAUGCAAGUCGAGCGAAUGGAUUAAGAGCUUGCUCUUAUGAAGUUAGCGGCGGACGGGUGAGUAACACGUGGGUAACCUGCCCAUAAGACUGGGAUAACUCCGGGAAACCGGGGCUAAUACCGGAUAACAUUUUGAACCGCAUGGUUCGAAAUUGAAAGGCGGCUUCGGCUGUCACUUAUGGAUGGACCCGCGUCGCAUUAGCUAGUUGGUGAGGUAACGGCUCACCAAGGCAACGAUGCGUAGCCGACCUGAGAAGGUGAUCGGCCACACUGGGACUGCGACACGGCCCAGACUCCUACGGGAGGCAGCAGUAGGGAAUCUUCCGCAAUGGACGAAAGUCUGACGGAGCAACGCCGCGUGAGUGAUGAAGGCUUUCGGGUCGUAAAACUCUGUUGUUAGGGAAGAACAAGUGCUAGUUGAAUAAGCUGGCACCUUGACGGUACCUAACCAGAAAGCCACGGCUAACUACGUGCCAGCCGCCGCGGUAA